rnacentral:rRNA from 1 species
CCUACGGGAGGCAGCAGUGAGGAAUAUUGGUCAAUGGCCGGAAGGCUGAACCAGCCAAGCCGCGUGAAGGACGAAGGUGCCAAGCAUUGUAAACUUCUUUUGUCAAGGGACAAAAUCAGGCUCGAGAGCCUGACCGAGGGGACUUGAAGAAAAAGCAUCGGCUAACUCCGGGCCAGCAGCCGCGGUAAUACGGGGAAUGCGAGCGUUAGCUGGAUUUAGUGGGUUUAAAGGGUGCGUAGGCGGACUGUUAAGUCAGAGGUAAAAGCCCGGGGCUAAACCCCGGCGUGCCGUUGAAACUGGCUGUCUUGAGAUGUCGAGAGGUAUGCGGAAUGCGCAGUGUAGCGGUGAAAUGCGUAGAUAUUGCGCAGAACUCCGAUUGCGAAGGCAGCAUACCGGCGGCGAUCUGACGCUGAGGCACGAAAGCGUGGGUAUCGAACAGGAUUAGAUACCCCGGUAGUC